GGUGUGAAGGAUGCCACCUUUGAGGUGGGCAGCAUGGAUAGGGGCGAAUUCUUCGUCAGCAUGGAGCUUUUCGAGAGGUCGCUCAACUUCAAGUGGGAGAUCAUCAUUGUCUAUGGACCGGCCGAUCAUAGUAGGUCGGCCUCCUUCUUGGAGGAGCUCCACCGGAAAAUCUCGGCCGCCUCCCUCCCCGUGGUUGUCGGGGGCGACUUCAACCUGCUGCGCGUUGCGGAGGACAAGAACAAUGGCAAUGUUUGCUUUGCCCGGAUGGACAUGUUUAACGACUUCAUUGCCGACCUCGCCCUCCGGGAGAUUGAUCGGGUUGGGGCCCGUUUUACUUGGACCAACCGACAAGCUUCCCCGACCCUAUCCGUCUUGGACAGGGUCCUAGUUUCCCCGGAAUGGGACCUCCGAUGCCCCCUAGCCUCUCUUCGCGCCAUCACCCGGAUUGGUUCCGACCACGUCCCCUUGCUCCUCUCCUCCGCGGACGAGCGUCCGCCGAUCCCCCCUCGGUUCCGGUUUGAGACCUUCUGGCUUUCCCAG
rnacentral:rRNA from 1 species